CGUAGGAGGCAAGCGUUAUCCGGAUUCACUGGGCGUAAAGCGCGUGCAGGCGGUGCGGUAAGUUGGACGUGAAAUCUCCCGGCUCAACUGGGAGAGGUCGUUCAAUACUACCGUACUUGAGAGCAGAAGAGGAAAAUGGAAUUCCCGGUGUAGUGGUGAAAUGCGUAGAUAUCGGGAGGAACACCAGUGGCGAAGGCGAUUUUCUGGUCUGUUUCUGACGCUCAGACGCGACAGCUAGGGGUAGUAAACGGGAUUAGAGACCCCGGUAAUCCUAGCCGUAAACGAUGUGAACUUGGCGUUGGUGGGUUAAACUCCAUCAGUGCCGCAGCAAACGCGAUAAGUUCACCGCCUGGGGACUACGGCCGCAAGGUUA
rnacentral:rRNA from 1 species